rnacentral:lncRNA from 1 species
GUCCCCUUCCCUGUAACUACGUGUUCUCUCUGUUCAGCUCCCACUCACGAGUGAGAACAAGUGGUGUUUGGUUUCCUGUUCCUGGGUUAGUUUGCUGAGGAUAAUGGCUUCCAGCUCCAUCCAUGUCCCUGCAAAGGACAUGAUCUCGUUUAAUUAACUUUUUUUCAAAAGAGUGUUUCCAGGGUUACAGUUAACAGUAAAAUUGGAGCAGUCCCUCGGCAUGAGACUCAUCUGGGGGAUAUGGUAAACUUCAUAUUCCUGGGCCCCCAAGUCCUACAGGAUGUCAGGGUCCAGAGGCAUGAGACCGAGGGCCAGGCUUCUGGCCUCUGUAACGUGCUCCCCGGGUAGGGUUACCAGUGGCAAUACAGGAUGCUUAGGUAAAUUUGCAUUUAAGAUCAACAAUGAAUAAACAAAAAAUACAAAUGGGAUAUAGUCAUACUAAAAAAAAGGCAUCAUUGAUCUGAAAUGCAAAUUUACCUCAACUUUCUUUUUAUUAGCUGAAUCAGGCAACCCUAUCCCCAGAGGACUAGCCUACCCCCAGAAGUUUGAAAAUCUGUUUUCUCCCUCUCCAUGUGAACAAACGAGCAUUCCAUCAUUGUUCAUUUUCUAUUCUCCCUCACCCCUUCUGCCUCCCCACUCUCACCCUGGAGCAGAGACUUUAAUGUCAUCUACCAGGAUUUCUCACACAGGGAAUCCCGGGCAAGGCCAGGAAGAUGGUUGGAUGGGGUCACUCAGCCCAACCCACCUCCAAGAGUCGAUGAGAUACCAUAAGCAAAUAAAUUCACGAGAGGUUGGCUGAAUCCAUCCUAGUGUUGCG